AACGAACGCUGGCGGCGUACUUAACACAUGCAAGUCGGACGAGAAAGGAGGCUUCGGUCUCUGAGUACAGUGGCGCACGGGUGCGUAACACGUAAGUAAUCUACCCCGAACCCUGGGAUAACCUUCCGAAAGGAGGGCUAAUACUGGAUAGGGUCCCCGAGGUAUAGGCUGCGGGGGGAAAACGGGCCUCUGUUUCAUGCUCGCGGUUCGGGAUGAGCUUGGGGCCCAUUAGCUAGUUGGUAAGGUAAUGGCUUACCAAGGCAACGAUGGGUAGCUGGUCUGAGAGGAUGAUCAGCCACACUGGCACUGAGACACGGGCCAGACUUUUACGGAGGCAGCAGUGGGGAAUUUUGCGCAAUGGGCGAAAGCCUGACGCAGUAACGCCGCGUGGAGGAUGAAGGCCUUCGGGUUGUAAACUCCUGUCAGGAGGAACGACGGGGAAAGGGUGAUAAAGUUUUUCCUCCAGACGGUACCUCCAAAGGAAGCUUUGGCUAAUUC
rnacentral:rRNA from 1 species